rnacentral:rRNA from 1 species
UAUGUGAUCGUCUCUCGCAUAUCAAUAAGCGGAGGAAAAGAAACUAACAAGGAUUCCCUUAGUAACGGCGAGUGAAGCGGGAAGAGCUCAAAUUUGAAAUCUUCAAGGUUUUACCUUGACGAAUUGUAGUUUAAAGAAGUGUUUUCUGUUGAAGUUUUGGUAAAAGUUCUUUGGAAUAGGACAUCAUAGAGGGUGAGAAUCCCGUAUUUGACCAUUAUUUUCAGCUGUGUGAUACACUUUCAAAGAGUCGGAUUGUUUGGGAAUGCAGUCCAAAAUGGGUGGUAAAUUUCAUCUAAAGCUAAAUAUUGGCGAGAGACCGAUAGCGAACAAGUACCGUGAGGGAAAGAUGAAAAGAACUUUGAAAAGAGAGUUAACCAGUACGUGAAAUUGUCAAAAGGGAAGCGUUUGACACCAGUGUUGUUUUCUCGAAAAUCAAUUAAAAAGAGUUAGAUUUUGUUGUGUAUUGACCUUAACAGCUUGCAUUUCAAUUUUCUUGCUUUUUUUAAUGCACUUUCCGUUUAACAAGUCAACAUCAGUUUCUUUUGUUGUAAAAAGGUCAUUGGAAGGUGGCUUUCUUUUCGGAGAAAGUGUUUAUAGCCUUUGACUCCUGCAAUCGGAGAGACUGAGGUCUGCAGCGUAGAUCCUUCGGGGUUAGAUACAUUUGUGCUAAGUUAUAGCUUUUUAUAGACAACUUGUUGACUAUGAUUAGUCUUGUAGCUUACUCGCUUAUGCUAUUUUACCUACGCUUAGGAUGUUGAAGAUGUAGCACAUCAU